UUGCCCAUUCUGUCUCCUGGUCCAGGAGUGAAAGGACAAUGGCUUUUGCCUUUAAGGUUACUAAAUUCACACUUUAAUCUUUCAGGGGCUGCUAUUUCCCGGUCACACUUGGAUGUCUGAUUGUCAGCUUUAUGUCUCAGAAAGUAUUCCCCACAAUUCAGAUCCUGAUGCUGAUUAAGGUAUGAAAGAGGACGUGAUUGUUGUCUAUGGAAGCUUUAAUAUCAAUCUCAUCUGUCAACUUUAAAAUAUAUUGAAGGACAAUGAAAGACAAGACAGCAAAGCUUCUUUUUAGAGAGAUCUGAGGAGAUCCCGAACACCGCCAACUUAGUAGGAUAGCUUAAGUGAGCGUGUGGGAAAAAAAUCCGCCCAUAGUAAAAGAAGCUUCAAAAGAGGACUGUGUGAGAGAGCUUUACAGAUGACGAUGUAAGCAAGAAAGUACUCAUUCUGACUGAGUGUGACUCCUAACAGAGUGGACAGUUUUGAACCACGCCUAGGCUUGCAAGCGGUGAAAGAAAAAGCAGAGGGAUCCGGCAAUAAUUUCUUCAGUCUCUUUUUGAGGAAUAAUAGUCCUGCAAGGAGAAACUAUGCUUCAAAGCAUUAGCAGGAUGAAAUGUAAUUUUCAUCUUGAUAAGAGUAAGCAGCCAGUUUAAAACUCACCUGAAGGAGCAGAAGCCGCGAAGCUCCUGCCUCUAUGAAGCAUGUCAGAGCAGUUUUGGAACCUAAAUUAAGGGUCUGUUAGAACCUCUGUGUGAGUGAGUGACUACUGGAUUGUGCGUCUCAAGAACCCCCCAACCCCAUCCGAAGGUAUGUCACCUCUACUCAGACCUCCAUAUCCAGCCCAAACACUGGAGAGCAAAAGAAUCUAGAGGAAAUAUUAACACUUUUAUCAAUUUGGUUUAAAAACUUAUCCAAAAUUAGAAUGUUUUACAUUUCAUUCUGUUUUGUUAAGUGAAACUAUCAUUAAGUAAUUUUAAAACACGCAUAAAAACAAUCCCUAUUUUAUAGUCACUUAUACCUCUUUCUACCUCUUUAUUAUUUAUCUGGUUUUAUGCCUAGAGAUGUCUAGGUUGAUGUUCACUUAUGGUUAGUAAG